rnacentral:misc_RNA from 1 species
AUCCGUUAAAUAACGAUGGUAACGAUAACGAUAACCUAAAAAAACCUUUAAAUAACAGCCGUUACGUAACGUAGUAAUCUUUAUUUAAAAACAUUCUUUAAAUACUAAAGUCCCAUUACCAUCAGCCCAUUUAAAUACCAAUAAAAGCCUAAAUAAUAAAUUACUAAAAAUCCCCAUUUAAAUACUAAUAAAAGGCAUCCACCACUUAGAAGCCUACAUUUCAUUGAGGAGCACGAGGCAGUCGUUAACCAGGAACGUCUCUUCUUCUUUUUCUUUUUCUU